UACGUAGGGGCCAAGCGUUGUCCGGAUUUAUUGGGCGUAAAGAGCUCGUAGGCGGUUCGGCAAGUCGAAUGUGAAAUCUCCACGCUCAACGUGGAGGGGUCAUUCGAUACUGCCGUGACUUGAGUACGGUAGGGGUGUGUGGAAUUCCCGGUGUAGCGGUGAAAUGCGCAGAGAUCGGGAGGAACACCCGUAGCGAAGGCGGCACUCUGGGCCGAUACUGACGCUGAGACGCGAAAGCGUGGGGAGCGAACAGG
rnacentral:rRNA from 1 species